AGCCAAGAUAUUUUGUGUUUUAGGACAAUACAUUUCCACGAAAUCCACGUUGUAAUUUGAAAUUCCGGCCGAAAGACAUUUUUGAUAAACAACGAUCGCAUGGGAUAUCGGAGUGUCGUUGCAACGUGUUUUAAGAUUUUAUCGAUCAUAAAUCUUUGCUGACAGAAGCGGAAAGUUUUUAAAACACCGUUGCUAUCUUAAAAAACAUGAACGUUUAA
ensembl:ncRNA R07H5.12 ncRNA